UCGAACGAGAAAGCAGGAGCAAUCUUGUGAGUAAAGUGGCGUACGGGUGAGUAACACGUGGAUUAUCUACCCUCUUGUGGGGGAUAACUCUGGGAAACCGGAGCUAAUACCGCAUAAGUCCGAGAGGAGAAAGCAGCAAUGCGCAGGAGGAGGAGUCCGCGGCCGAUUAGCUAGUUGGUAGGGUAAAAGCCUACCAAGGCUACGAUCGGUAGCCGGCCUGAGAGGGCACACGGCCACACUGGCACUGAAACACGGGCCAGACUCCUACGGGAGGCAGCAGUGGGGAAUCUUGCACAAUGGGGGCAACCCUGAUGCAGCGACGCCGCGUGAGCGAUGAAGCCCUUCGGGGUGUAAAGCUCUUUCGGCAGGGAAGAUUAUGACGGUACCUGCAGAAGCAGCUGCGGCUAACUACGUGCCAGCAGCCGCGGUAAUACGUAGGCAGCGAGCGUUGUUCGGAGUUACUGGGCGUAAAGGGUGUGUAGGCGGUCUUCUAAGUUUGGUGUGAAAUCUCCCGGCUCAACUGGGAGGGUGCGCCGAAAACUGGGAGGCUAGAGUGCGGGAUGGGAGAGUGGAAUUCCUGGUGUAGCGGUGAAAUGCGUAGAUAUCAGGAGGAACACCUGUGGGUGUAGACGGCUCUCUGGACCGCAACUGACGCUGAGACACGAAAGCGUGGGUAGCAAACAGGAUUAGAUACCCUGGUAGUCCACGCCCUAAACGAUGCAUAUUUGGUGUGGGCCAUUCAUUUGGUCCGUGCCGGAGCUAACGCGUUAAAUAUGC
rnacentral:rRNA from 1 species